rnacentral:rRNA from 1 species
CAGCCGCCGCGGGAAUACGUAGGUCCCGAGCGUUGUCCGGAUUUAUUGGGCGUAAAGCGAGCGCAGGCGGUUAGAUAAGUCUGAAGUUAAAGGCUGUGGCUUAACCAUAGUACGCUUUGGAAACUGUUUAACUUGAGUGCAAGAGGGGAGAGUGGAAUUCCAUGUGUAGCGGUGAAAUGCGUAGAUAUAUGGAGGAACACCGGUGGCGAAAGCGGCUCUCUGGCUUGUAACUGACGCUGAGGCUCGAAAGCGUGGGGAGCAAACAGGAUUAGAUACCCCUGUAGUCCCGUCUCUUAUACAC